GGGCGUGUACCCAAGUGGCCAACGGGGGCAGACUGUAAAUCUGCUGGCAAUGCCUACGCAGGUUCGAAUCCUGCCGCGCCCA
rnacentral:tRNA from 2 species